rnacentral:lncRNA from 1 species
AGCAAACUCUCCUCUUGGGCAGGAAGACAUAAACAGGCUGUAAAAUGGAAAACUACAUCUGUGUUCGUUUCUCUACCUUGAAAGACGGCCACAUUUGGCUGGGACGGCAUGACAUCACUCACUAUAGAUGUUAUACCCUGCGUUCCUCUUCAGCAGUGCAGUAAAUGACUAAAAUGCACAGGUCUUAAUAUCGCUAGCCCCGCUGCUUCCUUCCAAGCCACCCAAGAGAAGGGAAAUGUUUGUGUUUUCUGAACAGUUCCCUUAGCGUGGCUGCAGUUCCACCCCCAUCCUCCAGAGGGCAGACUUGUAUCACCUAAGGCUUGCCAGUCCCUGUACUGUAGCUGGGAAGUUUGGGUUUGACAAGCAACUGCAGUGAAGAAACACUGAAGGCAAAGUGCUGGUACAACUCCCCACAGAGAGGAGAGUGUUUUGUGAUGCGGGUGGUGAAAGACUAGGGAAAUCUAGUCUGGCAGCGCUGCUGUAGGCCCAAAAAUCUGGCCUUUUACUCAUUUUGUCAUUGUUGCAUAACCCACAACACUGAUUAAUUUUAUGAACAAUGUUUUCAAUUAGGUCCCCAUCCGUUUGAGUUGUUCACGAUAUCUCUUCCCACUAGCAAGUAUUUCUGCUUAGGUUUUUUUGUGCAUAUUGCCCAAACACAGCCUCACAAGACAAUGACACACAAAAUGAUUGACAGGCCUAUCUUCAGACAUCUGCAGGCCUUAUUUUCAGACAGAUACACCCUUCAAAAGAUCCUCUAUUGAGUUCACCAUUUGAGCAGGAAAGGGAGUGAGAGAGGAGAGUGAGUCGGCAGUUUUGCAGCGUGCCCUCUCACACUAGCCUUGUUGUUCCAGCCGGUCCAGGCUGUCAGUGGGCCUGUCUGACCUCUGACCUCCUGUACCUCAGCAUGAGGAAGUGGUUAGGCAGCCCAAUAACAAGGUCUGGUGGAGAGACUGAAACCAGAGCUGAAGUACUUGCUGCCCCUGCUCCCUUUAGUCCAGUUUGUCUUCAAGGCUCCAUUCCAAUCCGAAUAUGUCCUCCUUUCCCUCUACUCUUGUUGACUGCCUGUCUGUCACAGAUCUAAAAGGCCUGGAUAGGGUAAAGCAUUGUGGCAGCAGCUCUACUGGGAAAUCAGAGGGUAAGCUAGACACAUCCAAGCCAUUCAGAUCUGUGUCAAGGAGUCAACAAGGGUAGAGACAAGGGAGUAUGUUUUUGGCCUUAAACCAGUGAGGAGUGACCUAAUAUACUGACUACUGUGACCUCUUGGGUUUGGCCAAGCAUGUCACAUGAGAGAGAUGGGAGAGAACCCAAUGGUUGUUCCACAGUGUGAGGCAGCUUAGAUGAUGUGCAUGGUGUUUUACUCCUGUAAACAGAGUCAAGGCUCAGUGAGAACACGCUCAUCAUCAACUAACUUGCCUUCCCGGCUUAUUGUUGCAAACAUUCCCUAACACCUGGCCCGUGUGUCUCUCUCUCUCUCUCUCUCUCUCUCUCUCUCUUUCUCUCUCACGCACUCACUCAUACACUCACUCUCUCUCUCUCACUCACUUACACACACAGGAGGGGCUUAGCCAGAUGUCAGCCUCCCAUCUUAGGGAGCAAUUAAAGGUGGUGUUAUGAUUAAGGAAUUAUUCUGCCAAUGUUUCCCCAUAUGUGAAAAUAAUUGAGUGAUUGAAUGUCAUCGCGAU